GCGACCCCAGGUCAGGUGGGACUACCCGCUGAGUUUAAGCAUAUCAAUA
rnacentral:rRNA from 1 species